rnacentral:lncRNA from 1 species
GAUUGUCUUCAAGCUGAGCACACACUGAGCACUGGGCCUGCCUUCUUCCUAACACAGGUUUUUGUAAGCUCCAGACAUUGGAUAAAGCAUUUUGAGGGAUAGGUGAAAACGAAAUCCUGCCCUUUACUCUUGAGAACUCACUCUGCUGUGGGAGGAGAGACAGGCAGGCCCAGUCCCAAGGUGCAAGACCACUUGCAUCAGCAGCCUGUGCCAGCAAGAUAGCAGAAGCAGGAAGAGAGCCGGCCAGAAGACACGUACCCCUGAAGAUUGAGAAACAGGCCAUCCGGGUACAACGUAGCAAUUACGUCAGACUAGGACACUUCCUGUUUAAAGGAGACUAUAAAACCUUUGUCCUGUCCUCACUUGGGGCUGACGCCAUUUUAGGCCUCAGCCCGCCUGCACCCAGGCGCUCAUUAAAACAGCAUGUUGCUCCA